rnacentral:rRNA from 1 species
UGCAAGUCGAACGGUGAAGCCCAGCUUGCUGGGUGGAUCAGUGGCGAACGGGUGAGUAACACGUGAGCAACCUGCCCUCCACUUCGGGAUAAGCCUUGGAAACGGGGUCUAAUACCGGAUAUGAGCACUCAUCGCAUGGUGGGUGUUGGAAAGUUUUUCGGUGGGGGAUGGGCUCGCGGCCUAUCAGCUUGUUGGUGGGGUGAUGGCCUACCAAGGCGUCGACGGGUAGCCGGCCUGAGAGGGCGACCGGCCACACUGGGACUGAGACACGGCCCAGACUCCUACGGGAGGCAGCAGUGGGGAAUAUUGCACAAUGGGCGCAAGCCUGAUGCAGCGACGCCGCGUGAGGGAUGACGGCCUUCGGGUUGUAAACCUCUUUCAGCAGGGAAGAAGCGCAAGUGACGGUACCUGCAGAAGAAGCGCCGGCUAACUACGUGCCAGCAGCCGCGGUAAUACGUAGGGCGCAAGCGUUGUCCGGAAUUAUUGGGCGUAAAGAGCUCGUAGGCGGUCUGUCGCGUCUGGUGUGAAAUCCCGAGGCUCAACCUCGGGCUUGCAUCGGGUACGGGCAGACUAGAGUGCGGUAGGGGAGACUGGAAUUCCUGGUGUAGCGGUGGAAUGCGCAGAUAUCAGGAGGAACACCGAUGGCGAAGGCAGGUCUCUGGGCCGCAACUGACGCUGAGGAGCGAAAGCAUGGGGAGCGAACAGGAUUAGAUACCCUGGUAGUCCAUGCCGUAAACGUUGGGCACUAGGUGUGGGGCUCAUUCCACGAGUUCCGUGCCGCAGCUAACGCAUUAAGUGCCCCGCCUGGGGAGUACGGCCGCAAGGCUAAAACUCAAAGGAAUUGACGGGGGCCCGCACAAGCGGCGGAGCAUGCGGAUUAAUUCGAUGCAACGCGAAGAACCUUACCAAGGCUUGACAUGUACGAGAACACGCUAGAGAUAGCGGACUCUUUGGACACUCGUAUACAGGUGGUGCAUGGUUGUCGUCAGCUCGUGUCGUGAGAUGUUGGGUUAAGUCCCGCAACGAGCGCAACCCUCGUCCUAUGUUGCC